rnacentral:rRNA from 1 species
UACGUAGGGGGCUAGCGUUGCUCGGAAUUACUGGGCGUAAAGGGCGCGUAGGCGGUUCGUACAGUCAGACGUGAAAUUCCUGGGCUCAACCUGGGGGCUGCGUUUGAUACGUGCGGACUUGAGUGCGGAAGAGGGUCGUGGAAUUCCCAGUGUAGAGGUGAAAUUCGUAGAUAUUGGGAAGAACACCGGUGGCGAAGGCGGCGACCUGGUCCGAUACUGACGCUGAGGCGCGAAAGCGUGGGGAGCAAACAGG